UCCCUGGUAGUAUAUCGGUUAGUACACGCGCCUGUCAUACGUUUGCUGAAAGUCCAUGCUAGUGUACGCGCGAAAGCUGGGUUCGACUCCCAGCCAGGGAG